rnacentral:rRNA from 1 species
GUGAGGAAUAUUGCGCAAUGGAGGCAACUCUGACGCAGCCAUGCCGCGUGCAGGAAGAAGGCGCUACGCGUUGUAAACUGCUUUUAACCGGGAAGAAACCCCAGGACGUGUCCUGGGUUGACGGUACCGGAGGAAUAAGCACCGGCUAACUUCGUGCCAGCAGCCGCGGUAAUACGAAGGGUGCAAGCGUUAUCCGGAUUCAUUGGGUUUAAAGGGUGCGUAGGCGGAGCGUUAAGUCAGUGGUGAAAUCCUGCAGCUUAACUGUAGACUUGCCAUUGAUACUGGCGCUCUUGAGUGCGCUUGAAGUGGGCGGAAUGUGCCGUGUAGCGGUGAAAUGCUUAGAUAUGGCACAGAACACCAAUUGCGAAGGCAGCUCACUAAGGCGAUACUGACGCUGAGGCACGAAAGCGUGGGGAUCGAACAGGAUUAGAUACUCCGGUAGUCC